rnacentral:rRNA from 1 species
UACAGAGGGUGCAAGCGUUAAUCGGAAUUACUGGGCGUAAAGCGUGCGUAGACGGUCAUGUAAGUCGGGUGUGAAAGCCCCGGGCCCCAACCUGGGAAUUGCAUUCGAGACUGCAUGGCUAGGAUGCGGAAGAGGGAAGCGGAAUUUCCGGUGUAGCGGUGAAAUGCGUAGAUAUCGGGAAGGAACACCAGUGGCGAAAGCGGGGUUGCUGGGCCGACA